AUUGAACGCUGGCGGCAGGCCUAACACAUGCAAGUCGAGCGGCUCGCCAGACGGGGGAGUGAUACCUAGGAAUCUGACUGGUCGUGGUGGAUAGCGUCAGGAACCGGGCACUGAUGCCGCAUCCUCUCAGCUUAGCCUAGGUCGGAUUAGCUAGUUGGUGGGGUAAAGGCCUACCAAGGCGACGAUCCCUAACUGGUCUGAGAGGAUGAUCAGCCACACUGGAACUGAGACACGGUCCAGACUCCUACGGGAGGCAGCAGUGGGGAAUAUUGGACAAUGGGCGCAAGCCUGAUCCAGCCAUGCCGCGUGUGUGAAGAAGGUCUUCGGAUUGUAAAGCACUUUAAGUUGGGAGGCGUUACCAACAGAAUAAGCACCGGCUAACUUCAUGCCAGCAGCCGCGGUAAUAC
rnacentral:rRNA from 1 species